rnacentral:rRNA from 1 species
GAUGAACGCUGGCGGCGUGCCUAAUACAUGCAAGUCGAGCGAACAGACGAGGAGCUUGCUCCUCUGACGUUAGCGGCGGACGGGUGAGUAACACGUGGAUAACCUACCUAUAAGACUGGGAUAACUUCGGGAAACCGGAGCUAAUACCGGAUAAUAUAUUGAACCGCAUGGUUCAAUAGUGAAAGACGGUUUUGCUGUCACUUAUAGAUGGAUCCGCGCCGCAUUAGCUAGUUGGUAAGGUAACGGCUUACCAAGGCAACGAUGCGUAGCCGACCUGAGAGGGUGAUCGGCCACACUGGAACUGAGACACGGUCCAGACUCCUACGGGAGGCAGCAGUAGGGAAUCGUCCGCAAUGGGCGAAAGCCUGACGGAGCAACGCCGCGUGAGUGAUGAAGGUCUUCGGAUCGUAAAACUCUGUUAUUAGGGAAGAACAAAUGUGUAAGUAACUAUGCACGUCUUGACGGUACCUAAUCAGAAAGCCACGGCUAACUACGUG